rnacentral:rRNA from 1 species
UACAGAGGGGGCAAGCGUUGUUCGGAAUUACUGGGCGUAAAGGGCGCGUAGGCGGCCUGCUAAGUCGAACGUGAAAUCCCCGAGCUCAACUCGGGAACUGCGUCCGAUACUGACAGGCUUGAAUCCGGGAGAGGGAUGCGGAGUUCCAGGUGUAGCGGUGAAAUGCGUAGAUAUCUGGAGGAACACCGGUGGCGAAGGCGGCAUCCUGGACCGGCAUUGACGCUGAGGCGCGAAAGCUAGGGGAGCAAACGGG